rnacentral:tRNA from 1 species
GCCUUGGUGGCUCAGUCUGUUGAGUGUCUGACUUUGGGUCAGGUCAUGAUCUCAUGGUUCGUGAGUUCGAGCCUCGCACUGGGCU